GAUGCUGGUUUCUGUAGCAGCCUCUCUGCAAACUGAGGGCAGCAAUGCCGACAGGCAGCAAGCUGCAGGCACACUUGACAGAUGUGAAGAUCUGGGUUCUGGGGAUGCUGCUGAGCUGCUCGAUGAGCCCACUUUGGACCUGCCCUACCGCCAGACUUUUUGUGAUCCAAGUGCAAGGAAAUUACAGGGCUAUCAACUCUAUCUCUUUCCAAGACCGGAAAGUCGGCAGAUGGAGAACAGUUUCUAGAUGGGGAGGGAAUCUGCCUUUGGAACUUUUAGCGACCUGGUAUGGUUCAACAUUCCAUCACUAUGCAAAAAUAAAUAAAUAAAUUGCAGACCAACGUACAAA
rnacentral:antisense_RNA from 1 species